AACGAUGCCUACUAUGUUCGGCUUUCGCGAAUUUAUGUGAAAAAGAAGGGAUGUUUUGUAGAAUUUCAUUCUCAUUUCCACUACUCUCGCAUGUGAAAAUGCAAAAAUGGCGUAUCCUAGCAAUAACAAAACAAACAACCCCCGCUCCACAAACCGUAAUCACCUUCUUGUUGAAGUGAUGAUGUUGCUUCACCUGUUAUACAUUGAUAUAAGCGCCUUGCGCGAGCUGACCCUAUAUCUUCUCGUUCAUAAAAUUCGUUCUAGAAACUAAUGGUUGAUUUACACUUUGUGUGAUAAUCGUGAUAAUCCCAGGAAGUAGUAGCCGUAUGGACAAUGAUAUUUUGUGUUUAUAUUAGCCCGACGAUGCUGAACGUUUUUAAGAAUUGGAUUUUGCGUGCUGUUAUCAAUCAUUUAAUUUGUCGAAAAUACUUGCUUGCAAAAACAUGAGCAAACACGAUAAUAUGAUUUGUCACUUAUGACAGAUUUAUCUGUCAAAUGCAAACGCGACUAUUCUAACCUAUUCUAACGACCGUUUGAAGUGCGACUAUUUCUAAUCGUCGUGUCCAGUUAGGGAAUAGACGCACAAUACUAUCCUCUGCAUUACUCGAGUUCGGGUUGACAGCGGCCAAACGUUUUUAAAAACCAAGAGCUAUUUGGCUGUCAUCAAUCGACGGGUCUGCGCCAUGAACGAGGAAAGGAAGCGAAACAAUUAUGCAAAACAAACGCGGAAAGGAAGCUAGAAAUCAUGCAUAUGAUUGUUGCAAUUCUGCAUAUGAACCGCUAAAGGUUUUCGUAGUAGUUUGGAACUCAGGUGUGUUUCAUCGGGCCGGAGAAAUUGAAGCAGUAUUUUUAAAAAAUCGAUUGCGCGUGCAAAUGUCUUGCAAAUGAGCUCGCUGCCAGUUCGUUUUUGAAUUGCGUGGGUGAAAUGAUUUGUAUCCCACUGUAUGAAGUGUUUGCUGCUCUACGUCGUCAGCCCUAACAGCAAUGCAAAUCGUUGUUUCAAUUACACAUAUGAGCCGCUAGAGGUUUUCGCAGUAGCUCAUGUGUGUUUCAUAGGACUGGAGUAAUCGAUGCCCAAUUUUGAAAAUCGAUUAUAUAUGAGCCUCACACCUUUUUCUAUUUCAAUGUGAGAUUGAUGAAAUUUCAAUAAUAUUUGCCAUUAAAGAGAGAGGAAGUAUGCAGUUAUAAGAAGAGAAUUUAGAAGUGUAUUGAUGUGAAGAAACAUCCUUGCAAUGGACCAUGUACAUCGUACACACUGUAAGAGAAGCCAAUGGUCGAAAAUAAUUACAUAUGUCUAAUUUGUCUUCAAUAAGUUGGAGUUAGAGAUUGUGGAGUGGUGGACAUGAAUAAAACAAUGUGAUGAUAUGCUUUACUAGGAUAAUAUAAAAAUUUGUUCGUUGUUUUUUAAAUUGUAUUAUCUAUAAUAUUAAGCUGUCAAAAAAGUCCUGCGGUAUUUCCGCGAGGUGUCGUUGUAAGCACGUAGUUCUAGUUAUAUUCAUUGUAUCGAGUCAUACUAUAGCUUGUUGGAAAGGU